rnacentral:rRNA from 1 species
GAUGAACGCUAGCGGCAGGCCUAACACAUGCAAGUCGAGGGAGGAGCUUUCGGGCUUCGACCGGCGUACGGGUGCGUAACGCGUAUACAAUCUGCCUUUCACAUAGGGAUAGCCCGAAGAAAUUUGGAUUAAUACCUAAUGGUAUAUAGAGGUGGCAUCACCUUUAUAUUAAAGCUGAGGCGGUGAAAGAUGAGUAUGCGUUCUAUUAGCUAGUUGGAGAGGUAACGGCUCCCCAAGGCGACGAUAGAUAGGGGUUCUGAGAGGGAUAUCCCCCACACUGGUACUGAGAUACGGACCAGACUCCUACGGGAGGCAGCAGUAAGGAAUAUUGGACAAUGGUCGGAAGACUGAUCCAGCCAUGCCGCGUGCAGGAAGACGGCCUUAUGGGAUGUAAACUGCUUUUGCAGGGGAAGAAUAAGGACUACGCGUAGUUUGAUGACGGUACUCUGCGAAUAAGCAUCGGCUAACUCCGUG